AGGUCCCCAACAAAUGCAAAGCCAUGACCUUCAUCAAAACCAGAGAAUCAAGAGAAUAGGCUGUUACAUUAUUAAUGGCAUGUUCCAAAACAGCUUUUUCAUCAUGGUGUAGGGAAAUACUGGGUUUUGAAGGAAUGCAGAAGGAAGAUGCGAGUUCAGAUGUAAAUAUUUCAGCCAUCCCUCUUCGAAUGGGGGCAAUUCCUUGUUUUCUCCUUGGUGAUUCUCUCCCGUGGAUGCUGAAGCGUGUGACAGGUAUCUGUGACCUAUGGGCAGAGUUAUUCAGAAUAAGAGAUCUGGCCAAGAUCAUCAAGCAAGUCACAGGAAGAGCUGAAAAUAGAGCCUGAUUUUCCCUUUUCCCAGAUCACACUCCAUUUCCAUGGGGAACCACUGGACACUGUGUGAGAAAUGCAGCUGACAGGAACACAGAAAUAACCAUUAAGGAAUAUUUUCAGUGACUCCCAAGCCUGUCUUGGUGUUGCUGUAAUUGUGAGGUGCCAGCCUGUCACUGAGACUUUGCUCAGUCCCCAACACAGCUGAAAUUUAAGAGGCUUUUCCCAACUUUUAAUUACAUUCCUGUGCAGUACGACUCACUGUGCUUUGUGCAUACCUUGAGGGAGGGGUACAGUCUGUGAGUUGUUGUAGAGAGCUGGGAAUUGAUUACAAAGGACACAGGGUUGGAGUUCCUCUGAAGUACUUGCUCAGCUGUGUAACCUUGGGGCAAAUCACUCCACUGCUUUGUGCCCAAGUAAACCCAGCUGUAAAACCAUCUUGAAAACCAGAUGGUGCUUAAAGAUUUAAAAUGCUCAGGAGAAUGAUGAGGGAUGAGGAAAAAAAAUUAAAAGAAGGAAUUCUGCAGCUCACUGCUGUUGGUAUUGAUUCCAGUGGAGUUAAUCUGAACUAAAUCAAUAGAACUGAGCUGAGAAUUUUCUUUGACAUCCAAAAAUCACCCCACACUCUCAAAUCCUUGUUUUCCCUCUUCCCUCCUGACUUGAUGGUAGUACUUUCUCUCUAGAGGGUUAAUUUUAAACCUUCAGUAGAAUACAUGUUUUCCCCUGGCAGCCUGAAGUUUCUAAUUCAGGAUCAGGUUCUACAUGACUAAACUUUGAUCUCGUACAGGAUUAUUUUUAGGCACUUAAUUCUAUAACAUUCUUUUCUCCCUGCUUUUCGUGCUGCCAUCCAGCCUUGCCUCUAGGGCAUAGUGAGGUGUCCUGGGGCUCAACUGCUGCACCCCCAAAAAAAUAAAAUACUGAGCUUUAUUGCCUUCUGGAGAUGGUUAGUCCUGGCUUAAAACCAGUAUUUGUACUCCUGGUCAAUGAACGAAGGAAAUAUUAAAGUUUCUGUAGCAGAAUAAAUGUUAGCCACAUGUUAGUACCUAAGAGAAGACUUAAAUGUUUCAAUAUUUU
rnacentral:lncRNA from 12 species